rnacentral:rRNA from 1 species
AUUGAACGCUGGCGGAAUGCUUUACACAUGCAAGUCGAACGGCAGCACGGGGCAACCUGGUGGCGAGUGGCGAACGGGUGAGUAAUACAUCGGAACGUGCCCAAUCGUGGGGGAUAACGUAGCGAAAGUUACGCUAAUACCGCAUACGAUCUACGGAUGAAAGCGGGGGAUCGCAAGACCUCGCGCGAGUGGAGCGGCCGAUGUCAGAUUAGGUAGUUGGUGGGGUAAAGGCUCACCAAGCCAACGAUCUGUAGCUGGUCUGAGAGGACGACCAGCCACACUGGAACUGAGACACGGUCCAGACUCCUACGGGAGGCAGCAGUGGGGAAUUUUGGACAAUGGGCGCAAGCCUGAUCCAGCCAUUCCGCGUGCAGGAUGAAGGCCUUCGGUUGUAACUAGCUUUGUUACGGACGAAACGGACGAGCUCUAAUACAGUUGCUAAUGACGGUACCGUAAGAAUAAGACACCGGCUAACUACGUAGCCAGCAGCCGCGGUAAACG